CUCAAACUUCUCGAUUGACAAGCCUUAAACCAUCCGAGAGUAGCUCCUAAGUCUGGAUUUCACUGUAUAGACACUUUGUGACGGCGUCCACCCCUUUCACCGUGGCUUUCUCACCGAUUGUUGCUGCACCGUGUAGAGUAGGAGAGGGUGAACCACCGCCAUCCUGGGAUUUAGUUGCAACACCCGACUUCACACAAUUUAGACAGCAGCCUGAAGGUAUCCUGACU